rnacentral:rRNA from 1 species
CUCAUGCACGAAAAGCGUGGGGGGGCAAAAAGGAUUUGAUACCCUGUAGUCCACGCCCUAAAACGAAUGUCAACUGGUUGUUGGACGGCUUGCUGUUCAGUAACGAAGCUAACGCGUGAAGUUGACCGCCUGGGGAGUACGGCCGCAAGGUUGAAACUCAAAGGAAUUGACGGGGGCCCGCACAAGCGGUGGAUGAUGUGGUUUAAUUCGAUGCAACGCGAAAAACCUUACCUACCCUUGACAUGCUAGGAAUUCUGCAGAGAUGUGGAAGUGCUCGAAAGAGAACCUAGACACAGGUGCUGCAUGGCCGUCGUCAGCUCGUGUCGUGAGAUGUUGGGUUAAGUCCCGCAACGAGCGCAACCCUUGUCAUUAGUUGCUACGAAAGGGCACUCUAAUGAGACUGCCGGUG